GCCUAUAAUCAUACCACCCUGAAUAUGCCCGAUCUUGUCUGAUCUUGGAAGCUAAGCAGGGUUGAGCCUGGUUAGCACUUGGAUGGGAGACUGCCUGGGAAUACCAGGUGCUGUAGGCU
rnacentral:rRNA from 1 species